rnacentral:rRNA from 1 species
AACGAACGCUGGCGGCAUGCCUAACACAUGCAAGUCGAACGAAACCUUCGGGUCUUUUCGCGCACGGCUGUGUAACGCGUGGGAACCUUCCCUUAGGUUCGGAAUAACUCUCCGAAAGGGGUGCUAAUACCGGAUAAUGUCUUCUGACCAAAGAUUUAUCGCCUUUGGAUGGGCCCUCGUUGGAUUAGGUUGUUGGUAGGGUAAUAGCAUACCAAGGCGAGGAUGCAUAGCUGGUAUGAGAGGAUGAUCAGCCACACUGGGACUCAGACACGGCCCAGACUCCUACGCGAGGCAGGAGAGGGGAAUAUUGGAAAGUGGGCGGAAGCAUGAUGCAGCCAUGCCGGGUGAGUGAUGAAGGGAGUAGGGUUGUAAAGCUCUUUUAACCGGGAUGAUAAUGACGGUACCGGGAGAAUAAGCUCCGGCUAACUACGUG